GACGGAGGAUGCAAGUGUUAUCCGGAAUCACUGGGCGUAAAGCGUCUGUAGGUGGUUUAAAAAGUCUACUGUUAAAGCUUGAAGCUUAACUUCAAAAAUGCCGUAGAAACUUUUAAACUUGAGUAUGGUAGGGGUAGAGGGAAUUUCCAGUGGAGCGGUGAAAUGCGUAGAUCUUGGAAAGAACACCAGUGGCGAAGGCGGCUCACUGGUCCGGUACUGACGCUGAGGUGCGAAAGCGUGGGGAGCAAACAGG
rnacentral:rRNA from 1 species